AGUAAUCAACGCUGGCGGCGUGCCUAACACAUGCAAGUCGAACGAGAAAGUGGAGCAAUCCAUGAGUAAAGUGGCGCACGGGUGAGUAACACGUGACUAACCUACCUUUUAGUGGGGGAUAACCUAGGGAAACCUGGGCUAAUACCGCAUAAUACCUACGGGUCAAAGCAGCAAUGCGCUGAAAGAGGGGGUCGCGGUCGAUUAGUUAGUUGGCAGGGUAAUGGCCUACCAAGACUGUGAUCGAUAUCCGGCCUGAGAGGGCGCACGGACACACUGGAACUGAAACACGGUCCAGACUCCUACGGGAGGCAGCAGUGGGGAAUUUUGCGCAAUGGGGGAAACCCUGACGCAGCAACGCCGCGUGGAGGAUGAAGUCCCUUGGGACGUAAACUCCUUUCGAUCGGGACGAUAAUGACGGUACCGGAAGAAGAAGCCCCGGCUAACUUCGCGCCAGCAGCCGC
rnacentral:rRNA from 1 species